CACGUAGGGUGCGAGCGUUGUCCGGAAUUAUUGGGCGUAAAGAGCUCGUAGGCGGUGUGUCGCGUCGGCCGUGAAAACUUGGGGCUUAACUCUGAGCGUGCGGUCGAUACGGGCAUCACUUGAGUUCGGCAGGGGAGACUGGAAUUCCUGGUGUAGCGGUGAAAGUGCGCAGAUAUCAGGAGGAACACCGGUGGCGAAGGCGGGUCUCUGGGCCGAUACUGACGCUGAGGAGCGAAAGCAUGGGGAGCGAACAGG
rnacentral:rRNA from 1 species